AGUUUUUGGGAUUCUUAUAGGGAAAGUAAUUUUUCACCCCAAAAAUUUGGUGUCUGUAAGUGUAAAACAGGCCUCUGUUUCUUUCCAUAUGGGACUGCCUCCACACACAGGCCAGGACCAGUUACCUUCAAAUGAAAGCUCAUUUCCCUAUCACUUUGCUUCAUAUAAUGGAAUAUUGACCCCAAUUAGCCCCGGUUUCUAAUUGUACCUGACACAGCAAAGGCCCCUGGUGAGGGACAGUCCCAGAACCAUGCACUUUCAAAUGCAAUAUGGGUAAAGAUCAUAAAAAAAAUCCUUGCAUAAGAAGAAGAAACUAGAUAACUAAUUUUCUUCCCUUCCAAAGAAUACUUAAAUAAUUAUAUUUGUUGGGGACUAAUGAAAAAUACAGGACUACGGGUGAUUUUUUUUAAACUUUGUUCCUCUGUAAAUACAGACUGAGUCAUUAACAGAAGGAAGAGAGUGAUCCCCGCAGUCUGCCUCUUUAACACCGGAGUCUGUCUCUAUCUCUCUGCUGCUCCUGGAGGCAGCUCUCAACAGCCACCUCCACGAUGAUGCGGCUCAGAGACAACCAGCCUCGCUGCUGAGCACUGUGAUUUUUUUCGGCAACCAAGCAGCUUGUUUAAACCACCCCAGAGCAGGGGCAGAGCCUGCAAGAAGCUGAGAUCAUCUGCAAAAGUUUUGCAGAGGACUCCCACUUCCAAAGCAAACCAAGUCAGGGUACAGUGGUGGUGCAUCUUAUCUAUGGAUAUUUUUUUCUAUGUUGUUUUUCUGAGAUCAGCUGCUGAGGAAAUAAAACCCCAUGCAAUUUCCAGCAAUGAAAAACUGUGGGCUAUGUGAAGCCUGACUUGAAUGUAAAAGAUCCACAGGGAAAAAAUCUUCCAGUCCUCACUGAAUUAAAGAGAGCUGUCAUGCCACAGGUUUUGUGGGAGCACUCCACACUCAGCACCACCUUGGGUGGCACAUGGAGCAGGCAAGGAGCGCCACGCACCUACAGACCAAUAUGUCCUGGCCAUUGCAAAGUCCCACAGCAGAUUUACAGGUGUGGGUAAUGGGAGACUGAAAAAAAUUAGCAGCCACUCACUCUUCCAAAAAUCAGCCAGCUUAGGCCAACUAAACACUGUUUAACACUCUGCUGGUAACUCUGAGCUUCCACAGAGUACAGCUCCAUAAACUCGGGCAAAAGGAGAGCUCUGAGAUUUAUGAGACCAUUCCAGGCAAUUUCGCUGCAUUUAGGCUGUUGUUUAUGUUAGUCACCCCUCAGCUAUCUGCCUUUCAACGAGAUUCAGGCUUGUAAGAUACUUGGGUGCUUUUGGAAAGGUUACAUGCAGUCAAAAGCAGGCAGCCAAGGCUCCUGCACUCAGCCAGAGUUAGUGAGACAGCUCAGCCUUACAAUCUUAACCCAGCAGCAGCAGUGCUUGGACAGACAUCAUUUCUGUUGUGCUUGUUGGCAGACAAGGUUUCAGACAGCCUCUGGUUAUGAUUUAGUUUUAGUCUACAUGUUCAGUGCUCACUCAAAAUUCUUGUGCAGCCAACACAGCGACUGCCUUCAAUAGGAGAGAGAGUAAUUGCAAUGUUUUCAGUUUGAACAAUAUUUCAGUUGUUGUUUUGUCAAUGGGCCACAGCCACUCAUGAACUGCUCCAGUUUGGUCCCAGGCUGCAGACAGCUCUUGUUUAUCCACAUAAAGUGUAUUCACUAAACUAGCAUGCAGUUGGCAGAAGGGACAUACCUCCAGCUCCUGUGUGUCUCUGUUGCUUCUGGUACCAUCAUGGGGCUGCCAAACCCACCAGUGCUCCUGCUCUCUGACAGGCAAGCUCUGCAUCUGCAGCAGGAAAAAAAAAAAGUUUAACACAAGGGUUUUCCCAGCCCUUUCCUAAAGCUGGAACUCAAAAAACACAACAGUGCACAUUGUGUAUCACCUGGUGGUGUUUCACCCACUUGUUCUUAGCUUUCUGUAUCUCGUAUUUGCAGGUGUCCCCUCCAUGGUACCCAGGUGCCAACUGCAGUUCCCAGUAUUUGGGAAGUGACUAUUGAUAAUGUUUGAAUCUGUGAUAUCUUGUAUGGGAAUUGACAAGUUCUGAACCUAAAGAAGUUAGGAGUAAAGGGUGUGUAAGUCAGUCUCUGGAAAGCAUUUGAAAAUUAGGGACAAUUUAAUGGGCUUUCAUGCAGUUUCUUCAACUUCCAAGUGUACAUGCAACUAAUAUUGAAUUUCACUAGAAUUGCAAGUUAGUUGAAAUGCAAAGCUUAACUUCUGAAGUUGUACAGAAUGUGCUCCAAAGCAAUGGCUUCAUCAACAAAGGUAGGAUUUUUUUUUAAUCUUGUUUUCCUAUGUAUAAACCCCAAAAUAAUUAAAAAGUCUUUUACCACAUUCUUAAUUUUAGCCCAUUCCCACUCUCCAACCUGCCACAUUGCCCAGACAAGUUCACUGAUCAUACACAAGACUGGAUGUGAUCACCUUCUACUCUAACCAGAGAGUAUAAAAUUUUCUUUUUGGUGAUUUCAUCACAAAAAAAUAACAUUUAAAAUCCUCAAGAUUAGGAGCAGCCAUUUUUCAAUAUUGUGGUGCAAAAGGGUAGAAAUGGGACCAGGAAAUUCUAGUUUUCUAACUUUAAUAGCGUACAAUAAUGUGCAUGAGUAAUUAGUAGGGAAACAAGAGUGAAGAGAGAUUGCCAGAUUUGAAGGAAAGUUACUGCCUUCUGGACAAUGUUUCCAAUUUAGGAUUACACGUGAGUUAUUAGUUAUUUAGUCAUUUUCUGUUACAAUGGAGGAUAUACAAUAUAUUAAGUCUAACAAAAAAAAGACAAGAUAUAUAACCCUUAAUAUCAGAGACUGCUUAAAAAUGUGCCACAUUAUCCCAAAUAUGCAUUGUAUGUAUUGUUCCUAUUAUUUUAAAUUUUUAAAGCUUUUUAUGAAAUUGAAUUCAUGACUUUUAAGCACUAAAAUAACAUUUGGUGAAAUUCCCCAAAUAUUCUACUGUUUGGCAUUCAGUGGAUUAUAAAGAAUGUCUGUGACUUGUAUAACCCAUGGCAUCUAGGAUCCAAAUUAAAUGAUAUUCUCCCCUUCCUUCCAUCUCAGAGUCAUUUGUAAGCGUUUCUCCCUUUCUAUCAACAGUUUUCUUGUGGUAAAGUCCUGCCUCUUACAACGCCCACCUCAGAGCUCCUGAGUUUAUAAAAUACAUUCAAGGCCUCAUGGGAUUCUCUAACAUUUACACAGCUGUGGCAAACACUUCAAAAUUAACCACCUGACCUUCCCCAAAAUGCUCAAAGAGCUCAAAUUCCUUAUUGCACACAAAAGAAUCAAACACAUUUGGAGGCCCUAGGGCCAUGAUGUUUUUCUAGCUAUCAGGCAUAAAAACCCCUCCAUCCACUUUUUCAGAGGACUCUUUUCCACCAGUGUCUUUUUUAUCUGCUCUCCACAUUCUACCCUAUCUCCUGUCACCACAAAGAAGCCAUCUCUACCACAGGAGCAAUAAAUUACCAUUGAAGAAAGAAUGGUCACUUUAUCCAGAAGCAAAAGAGGUGCUAAAUCAAUACCAAAUUCACAGCUGAGACCUAGUCUUAGAUUUUGCAGAGUACAGACUACAGUCUUUACUGAGUUUCUAUGAAGGGGCUUAUAUCCCUUGUGUCCUUCUAACUUCAGUCUGAUUUCAAACCCACUGCAGGAUAAGACUUAAACCUUUACAAUAUUUUUUUUUCUAUUUUGAUUUAUAAUUAAUUAUUACCAUGAAUACCUUCCUUUUCUUCCUAUCUCAUCUCAGGAUUCAUUUUGCAUGAAUGAAACUCCUGUGAAAAAAGCAGAAACUUACUCCCGAGACGGUUGUUGAGCUGAAGAGCAGGACAAGCACUCUUGGCACUCACCGAGGAGCAGCUCUGGGGCUGUGCUGGGUGCCCUCCUCUCCCAGGAAGAGGAGAGGCUGGUGGGCACUCAGGUUAGAUCCUUGUCACCUUAGACAUGUUCCAGGCUUUCAUGUUGACCUCUGCUCUACACAAACUUAAAUCUGUUUUACAUCAGAAGCUGCAGGGACGGAAGAGUACAUGGGAAAGGAACAUGUCUGGGAGUUAGAGAGGACCAGCUAAAUUAUUUGAGCUCCAGUGGGAUUGGUGACAUAACUAAAAAGCAACAAACAGCAGCAGGCUGAAGAAUGUGACACAUGUGGAUGUUCUUUCUGCCAAGGAUGUGAGGUCAGGACUCCAGGGGUCUGUGGCUGAUCCUCUGCUCCAUGGAGAGUGUUCACAUAUCUUCAUUUUGUAUUUAAUGAUUCAGCCUCGUAUGGGCUGAAUUAUUUUCCAAAUAUUUCUGGUUUUCCCUAGAGGGAAGAGUCUUGAUGACAGUUCUAAUCUAAGACCUAAUUUAGAUACCAGGCUGGUGUUUUGAAGGAGACAGAGUUUGAUCAAAUUGCAGUAAAUUUAUCUCGUGAAGAUCUAAGUGUUUAUGUUUAGUGAGAUGCAAAAAUUUGUGCCAUUAAUUUUUGCUAUUUGACAAUGGCUUCUUUUCACUACAUGAAAUGAGAAAACUGAGCCAGUUCAUUGUGAAGAUAGUUAAAGUUUUAAUAAGGCCAAUACAGGCUGAAUCCUACAAGUGCAUGUGGGGAAAGUAAUGUAUAAAAAUGCAACAUCAAAGAAAGAUGAGAAGGGAAUGGAAAGCAGAGAAA